GGUAAGGUGGCUGAGUAAGCGGUGGAUUGUAAACCCACACACAGAGGUGUAAGUCCUCUUCUUAUCA
rnacentral:tRNA from 1 species